rnacentral:tRNA from 1 species
CCCCCGUUAGCUCAGCUGGUAGAGCAGCUCCCUUUUAAGGAGAAGGUCGGAGGUUCGAUUCCUCCACGGGGGA